rnacentral:rRNA from 1 species
CGAGGCAAAGCCGCGAGGCAGAGCGAAUCGCUAAAAGCCGUCCCAGUUCGGAUUGCAGGCUGCAACCCGCCUGCAUGAAGUUGGAAUCGCUAGUAAUCGCGGAUCAGCAUGCCGCGGUGAAUACGUUCCCGGGCCUUGUACACACCGCCCGUCACACCAUGAGAGUCGGGAACACCCGAAGUCCGUAGCCUGACCGCAAGGGGGGCGCGGCCGAAGGUGGGUUCGAUAAUUGGGGUGAAGUCGUAACAAGGUAUC